rnacentral:misc_RNA from 1 species
AUGUUACAAGUGUCUUUCAUGUGUCCCUUUUUCUUCGUGCUUUUGGCUCUUAAUACAUGUUAGGUACAUAAAUUCAAAAUAGAAUGACAAGUUCCUUCUACAGUUUUGAAAUAGGUUAGAAUCUGAUUCAUUAUUACACAUCAGUGUUACCAGCCUGAAUUAAUUCUGAUUACACAUCUUUGUUUCCUUGAAACUCUGGCAAUCUUCAACAAACUGCAGAACUGUCAUUCUCCACUCCAACUUUG